rnacentral:rRNA from 1 species
AGUGAACGCUGGCGGUAGGCCUAACACAUGCAAGUCGAACGGCAGCACAGUAAGAGCUUGCUCUUACGGGUGGCGAGUGGCGGACGGGUGAGGAAUACAUCGGAAUCUACUUUUUCGUGGGGGAUAACGUAGGGAAACUUACGCUAAUACCGCAUACGACCUACGGGUGAAAGCAGGGGAUCUUCGGACCUUGCGCGAUUGAAUGAGCCGAUGUCGGAUUAGCUAGUUGGCGGGGUAAAGGCCCACCAAGGCGACGAUCCGUAGCUGGUCUGAGAGGAUGAUCAGCCACACUGGAACUGAGACACGGUCCAGACUCCUACGGGAGGCAGCAGUGGGGAAUAUUGGACAAUGGGCGCAAGCCUGAUCCAGCCAUGCCGCGUGGGUGAAGAAGGCCUUCGGGUUGUAAAGCCCUUUUGUUGGGAAGGAAAAGCAGCAGGUUAAUACCCCGCUGUUCUGACGGUACCCAAAGAAUAAGCACCGGCUAACUUCGUG